rnacentral:lncRNA from 1 species
CUGAUUAGACCUGGCUUGCUCUGACCUGGUGAGUGAUGGCCUGCUCUGUUCACUCGAUUCGGCACUGUAGGUGAAACCUUCACCUUUUCUUCAUUUUGUUCCAAACAGAACAAUGGGGUUCAAUCCAGGUCAAGUUUCCCCUCUCCUCGCCUCUCCUCUUAUUAGCAAGCUCUGUUUGUUAUUUUGUGUGUGCUUUGGAUAUUAUUUUUUUGACGAAAAGACGGCCCUAGGGCCGUAUUUCAUUGAUUAAUCAGGAGAGGCAGAAUACAAAGUCUGAGAGACAAAAAGAAGGUGGAGCUGGCAUCCAAAAAGAAAACACUCAGCAACAAACAAGGGGAAAAUCAAGGUGGUUCAAAUAUUCUGUCGAGCAAGCUAUAAGCCCAGCCGCUGACCAACAUCUUGCCUCAUCCAUGAUUCGUCCCAUGAGUUGUGGAGCGCAGCAUAUGUCAGCAUUGAACACACGGUUGUUUUUGUUCCUUCCAUAUCAUCCAGGAGACCAAGCAAAUGGCCUGACUUCCAUUCUUUCAUCUUAUUAGCUGGGAGCAACUGCAGUUGCAUCAUCCAAUUGUUUUUGAGAUGAAGGCAUUGCUGAUGGGAGUUUACCAUUGGCGCUAGGUUGAGAAAAAGUCCCCCAAGCUUGCUGAUGGCCAUCAUCCAGAGCUGCUUUGGAUACUUAAACGAUGUUAUUUGGGCUGCUGACUCCUACGUUGCAUGGAUACUUGGAUACGUAUCGGAUACACGAUACGGGGAUACGCCCGAUACGUCAAUUUUCUAAAAACAUGGAUACGGGGAUACGUUUAUGUAUAGAUGUUACAUAUAUUAAUUAUUACAAAUAUGAAGAAAAAAAUUAAGGAGCUUCUAGAUCAAAGCAUGCCUCAAUACGAUUACCCCUUUCUUUUCUUGCACUUAGUCCACUUCCAUUAAUUGGCAGUGAGAUUUGACUAGGUUUGUUGUUUCAAUCAAUGCAUCGACUCUCUCUUGCUCACCUUUCAAUUGAAUAAAAAACAUUGACAUACAUGUUUUCACAUGAACUCACGCCCAUGUUGGGAAUCUUCAAAGGUG